rnacentral:tRNA from 1 species
CGCGGGGUGGAGCAGUUCGGUAGCUCGGCGGGCUCAUAAUCCGCAGGUCGCAGGUUCAAAUCCUGUCCCCGCUA